rnacentral:lncRNA from 1 species
AUGCACAUAAGGUCACCAUUGUCAGUGGUUGUGCUUAAUGUUUGAUGGGAAGGCUCGCACAAAGACGGUGCCGGAAAUCUGCAAGUCUUUGCCAAAUAUAUAUAGAGAAAUAAACAAAUAACCCAAUUUCUGUUUUUCGUUUAAACACAAAUUUCACAUUCCAAAAUAUUAUGAUAACUUUCAAUCUUAUCUUUAUGUCCUACCAUUUGAUGGGUAAAAAAAAUUGCUCUUUCAACUGCAAACACCUCCACUGAAGGUUAUAGAUCUGAGUCACCAGCCCUCAACUCUGGACACCGUUGUCGCCACGGGUUAUAGAUCUGUGUCACCACCCCUCAAAUGUCUACACACAUUACAGAUCCGAGUCAAACGCGACGGCGAUGCCGCUAAUAGAUCUGCGAUUUUACAGAUCCGAAAGGGUUCUUGUUGAAAUAUGGUUAUACAUACACAUACUUCACUCACACAUACCUGUAGGUUAUAUACACAUAUAAGCCGCAGUUGUAGUGGUGUACGGACGUAUCGGAGAUGCCGGUUAUUAGUGGAGUUUGGUGGCAGUUGGAUCUGAUGAACAAGCAGAUGUUGUUUCAGGCGGUGGUGGCGGCAGCCGCACAGACAGUGGUGGUUAAGAGAGAGUUUAGAGAUGGGUUUUUGUGAUUUUGAAAGGGAGGGAGAGAGGUGAGAGACUGAGGUGACUAAGUAGUGGUGGUGGUGGUGCUAGUGCUGGGUUGGUGGUGGUGGCAAGUGGAGAAGAAGAUCAAUCCAGAAUGAAAGAGUUCUAUCAAUAAAUAUACAAGUAAAAUUUCUGAUCUACCCUCAUGUGCAAGUCACAUGAUCAGAUUUAACUUAAAUUUUUAACCUGGUUAGUGUUAAAGGACGAACGAUGUAAUGAGUUUUGCAAAUAAAGGAUUAUGACUGUAAUUAUUGAAGUUAAAGGUUAUCCAUUGCAAUCUGUAACAAACAUAAAGGACGAAAAGUGUAAUUUACCCUUUCAUAAAUUAAAGAAGUUAUUC